UAAAGAAAGAAAUAAAGAUACUGUUAUAUUAAAGACCGCCACGUCAUCCAUUUUUAAAUUAUUCUAAUAAUCGACCGUUACAACUCACACAUACAAAACUCUCUUCUCUUCUUCACUACCGAAUAUUCUCACACACACGCUCCUCAUGGGUGAAUUUCUCUCUUCUUUCUCUAAAAUGGUGAAUUUCCCAAUUCUCCUCUCAAUUUUACUUCUUCUUGGAAUAAAAGAAAUCAAGUUUUUGUGUGUGUAUGCAGCAGACAAAGGCGAAGAUGAAGGUGGUGAGAGUAAAAUUGCUGAGAAACAAGAGGGAGGUGGUUGUGAUCGAGGCAAAUGAGGAGAGACAUUGGUAUGCUUCUUGAAUCCCGUCCGGAGGCCACUGCUCGUAUUCAGCUACUCAGAUCCACACAUGCAGAUGAUCAAGAUUGAUGGGAUAAAACAAGACCUUGGUUCAUUGUGAAAGUUCAUCCGUCAACCUCCAUCAAGUUCGAAAAGGGAAGCUAAUAGCCCCAAAAGGCUGGAAAUUAAAAAGAAGAUUUUUUUUGGACUCUAAAAGUCCGAUAAUAACUCAGCAGCAGCAGCGACUGAUUGCUUUGGGACCAAAAGUCCAGGUGUCUUCAAAUGCUAUAUGAUAUGAUAUGAUGAUUCAAAAGAUAAAAGGGGUAACGUUUCCUAUCUAGUAAAAUUUACUCAAAUUAUUUCAUUCAGUGUAAUGAUUUGACAAGUCGUGUAUAAUUCAUUAUUCUUUUAUCAA